rnacentral:rRNA from 1 species
CAGCAGCCGCCGCGGGAAUACCGAGGGUGCGAGCGUUAAUCGGAUUUACUGGGCGUAAAGCGUGCGUAGGCGGCUUCUUAAGUCGGAUGUGAAAUCCCUGAGCUUAACUUAGGAAUUGCAUUCGAUACUGGGAAGCUAGAGUAUGGGAGAGGAUGGUAGAAUUCCAGGUGUAGCGGUGAAAUGCGUAGAGAUCUGGAGGAAUACCGAUGGCGAAGGCAGCCAUCUGGCCUAAUACUGACGCUGAGGUACGAAAGCAUGGGGAGCAAACAGGAUUAGAUACCCCCGUAGUCCCUGUCUCUUAUAC